GGACGAACGCUGGCGGCGUGCUUAACACAUGCAAGUCGAACGGGAUCUGCGUGGCCUUUGUGGUUGUGUGGUGAGAGUGGCGAACGGGUGAGUAACACGUGAGUAACCUGCCCUUUUCUUCGGGAUAACGCUCAGAAACUGGUGCUAAUACCGGAUAGGCUGCGCUUGCCGCAUGGUGGGUGUGGGAAAGGGCUUCGGCGGUUUUGGAGGGAGAUGGGCUCGCGGCUUAUCAGCUUGUUGGUGGGGUAGUGGCUUACCAAGGCUUUGACGGGUAGCCGGCCUGAGAGGGCGACCGGUCACAUUGGGACUGAGAUACGGCCCAGACUCCUACGGGAGGCAGCAGUGGGGAAUAUUGCACAAUGGGGGGAAGCCUGAUGCAGCGACGCCGCGUGCGGGAUGACGGCCUUCGGGUUGUAAACCUCUUUCAGCAGGGGCGAAGCUUGUGGUGACGGUACCUGCAGAAGAAGCACCGGCUAACUACGU
rnacentral:rRNA from 1 species